rnacentral:rRNA from 1 species
AUGCCUACAGUAAAUACUCUUGGAUUUAUCUUCUUAAGAAAAGAUCCGAGGUCUUUCAAGUUUUCCAAAACUUUUAAGCUCUUGUUGAGCGCAAGUUUGACAGCAAGAUCAUUGCUGCUCAAUCAGACUGGGGGGGGAGAGUACGAAAAGUUAAACUCUUUCUUCCAAAACCUUGGCAUCUCUCAUCACGUGUCCUGUCCCCACGCUCAUCAACAAAACGGUUCGGCAGAACGUAAGCACAGACACAUUGUGGAGGUAGGACUAGCUCUCUUAGCCGGCGCUUCUAUGCCCCUUAAAUUUUGGGACGAAGCUUUUCUCACGGCUGUCCACAUUAUCAACAUGCUUCCUAGUCGUGUCAUCAAUAAUGAAACUCCAACAGAAAGGCUACUUCAUGUUAAACCUGACUACAAAUCACUUCGUGUGUUUGGGUGUGCCUGUUGGCCUAAUCUUCGCCCAUACAACAAUCGCAAACUCAUGUUCCGCUCAAAGCAAUGUGCUUUUCUUGGGUAUAGUCCCCUUCAUAAAGGUGUCAAGUGCCUUGGCAUCUCCACUGGUCGUGUCUAUAUUUCUCGCGAUGUGAUCUUUCAUGAAACAAAAUUUCCUUUUGCUGAUCUUCAUCCUAAUGCCGGCGCCAUACUCCGCAAAGAAAUCCUUCUUUUGCCAUCUCAUUUAUCCGGCCUUGAUCACGGGGGAGAAAAUAAUUGUGCUGAUCAAAUGCUGACUAACCCUCUUAACCAUACCCAUGAGCUUUGUGAUGUUGUAGGAGAAAACAGCAGUGAAAACAGAGAAGAAAAUGAUGCACAAAUCACUUCCCAAAUGCCAUAUUUCAUGUGUCAUGGCGUGGGGGGCAAAUCUUCCUUGGAACUCGCUGGAUCCGCCUCGAGAUCGCUGCAGGAGCAGCAGCGCAGGCAAUCUGCACCGGGAUCGGUGCGGGCUGACGCGUCAGAGCCGACAGCUGCGCCGCACGCCCGCGCAACCGCCAGCGACUCCGCGCGCGCCACGCAACCGACCGCAGCUGGAGGUGGCCCCGCGCCUGCUGGAGGUGGCCCCACGGCCGCUUCGCCCCGCUCGUCGCGUCACACCUGGCAGCCCCCAAGUGGCCAACGCGGCGCACGCUUCCCCGACGAGUUGCGCUGCUACAAGCGGCGCGCUGAGCCGCGGCUGACGGGCGCUGGAUCUGGUGCUGAUCUGCUCGGGCCCACGCAAUCAUGCGCACGUGAUGAGCCGGUCGGCCAGCCGGGAUCUUCUGCGGCCUCCACAGCGCCUGGAUCACGAGAUGCAGCCACAGAAGAUCCAGGAGACGCACGAGGCGAAUCUGCCUCGGCUGUCGCAGCGUCCAGUGCUCCUGUUCCUGCUCCGAGAUCUUCUGCGCAAACUGAUCCCGCUGCACUGUCACAACGAAGAACAAGACUACAACAAGGUGUGAUCCAACCUGUUGAUUAUAAGCGUGUAACAAAAUAUGGCUUAGUUUGUUCCACAGGUGAGCCAGGUGAGCCAAGCACUCUUGAGGAAGCACUUCGUGAUGAAAAAUGGAAAAAGGCAAUGAAGGAAGAAUUUUUGGCACUAGAGAAAAAUCACACGUGGCAUCUAGUUCCUCACAGCAAGGUAAAAAUCUUAUUGAUUGCAAAUGGGUCUUCAGAAUAA